UGUUAACCGCUCCUGCUCGGUCUCUGUCAACUGUACUGGCCCCCAAGCAGGCGCAACUGGCUCUACUGGAACUGCUACUAGCGGAGGGACUGCUGCAGCUGGUGCUGUCACUGGGGUAGUCGGAGGUGGAACAGACGACUCUAGUGCCCUCGGUGCUGAACUCUGGGGCGAAGCUAGCCUCUCGCACAUCCUCUCCAACAACUCCCCCUGCCGCCUCGUCACCUCUAUCAGGGCAGCUAACUG
rnacentral:lncRNA from 1 species